rnacentral:rRNA from 1 species
UACGGAGGGGGCUAGCGUUGUUCGGAAUUACUGGGCGUAAAGCGCACGUAGGCGGCUUUGUAAGUUAGAGGUGAAAGCCCCAGGGCUUAACCCUGGAAUUGCCUUUAAGACUGCAUCGCUAGAAUCGUGGAGAGGUAAGUGGAAUUCCGAGUGUAGAGGUGAAAUUCGUAGAUAUUCGGAAGAAACACCAGUGGCGAAGGCGACUUACUGGACACAUAUUGACGCUGAGGUGCGAAAGCGUGGGGAGCAAACAGGG